GGCGAUCUGCUGGAACUCAACUGACGCUAAGGCGCGAAAGCGUGGGGAGCAAACAGGAUUAGAUACCCUGGUAGUCCACGCCCUAAACGAUGUACACUAGUUGUUGGGGUGCUAGUCAUCUCAGUAAUGCAGCUAACGCAUUAAGUGUACCGCCUGGGGAGUACGGUCGCAAGAUUAAAACUCAAAGGAAUAGACGGGGACCCGCACAAGCGGUGGAGCAUGUGGUUUAAUUCGAAGAUACGCGAAGAACCUUACCUGGGCUUGAUAUCCUAAGAACCUUUUAGAGAUAAGAGGGUGCUAGCUUGCUAGAACUUAGAGACAGGUGCUGCACGGCUGUCGUCAGCUCGUGUCGUGAGAUGUUGGGUUAAGUCCCGCAACGAGCGCAACCCACGUAUUUAGUUGCUAACGGUUCGGCCGAGCACUCUAAAUAGACUGCCUUCGUAAGGAGGAGGAAGGUGUGGACGACGUCAAGUCAUCAUGGCCCUUAUGCCCAGGGCGACACACGUGCUACAAUGGCAUAUACAAUGAGACGCAAUACCGCGAGGUGGAGCAAAUCUAUAAAAUAUGUCCCAGUUCGGAUUGUUCUCUGCAACUCGAGAGCAUGAAGCCGGAAUCGCUAGUAAUCGUAGAUCAGCCAUGCUACGGUGAAUACGUUCCCGGGUCUUGUACUCACCGCCCGUCACACCAUGGGAGUUGAUUUCACUCGAAGCCGGAAUACUAAACUAGUUACCGUCCACAGUGGAAUCAGCGACUGGGGUGAAGUCGUAACAAGGUAACCGUAGGAGAACCUGCGGUUGGAUCACCUCCUUUCUA
rnacentral:rRNA from 1 species